AGCCCCCCACCAGGAGUGCUGCCUGUUUAUUAAUUUGACUCAACACGAACAAACUCACCCCGGCCGGACACUGGGAUGAUUGACAGAUUGAUUUUUUUUUAAUGAUUCGGUGGAUGGGGGUGGAUGGUCGUUCUUAGUGGGUGGAGUGAUUUGGCUGAUUUCUACCAAUAACGAGAGACACUCUAACCUACUAAAUAGUUGAUUUUUAUUUAUAAGAAUACUUCUUUUCUUAGAGGGAUUUGCGGAGUCUAGCCAAAAGAAAUUGAACAAUAACAGGUCUGUGCUGCCCUUACAUGUCCGGCGCUGCACGCGCGCUACACUGACAAAAUCGACGUGCUUGUCCUUCCCCGAAAGGGGCGAACAAACCAUUGAAAAUUUGCCGUGAUUGGGAUUGUAAAUUGCUAUUAUUUUCCAUGAACGAGGAAUUCCAAGUAGGGGCGAGUCAUCACCUCGCGUUGAUUACGUCCCUGUCCUUUGAACACACCGGCCCGUCGCUGCCCGGAACUGAGUCUUUUCAAG
rnacentral:rRNA from 1 species